rnacentral:rRNA from 1 species
CACGUAGGGGGCAAGCGUUGUCCGGAUUUACUGGGCGUAAAGCGUGCGCAGGCGGUUCGUUGUGUCGGCGGUGAAAGCCCCGGGCUCAACCUGGGAAUGGCCGUUGAAACUGGCGAACUGGAGUGUGGCAGAGAGGGGUGGAAUUCCACGUGUAGCAGUGAAAUGCGUAGAUAUGUGGAGGAACACCGAUGGCGAAGGCAGCCCCCUGGGUUAACACUGACGCUCAUGCACGAAAGCGUGGGGAGCAAACAGG